rnacentral:rRNA from 1 species
UUAUUUUAGCGGCGGACGGGUGAGUAACGUGUGGGCAACCUACCUUUUACUGUGGAAUAAUCGUUGGAAACGACGACUAAUACCGCAUACGGGUUCUUGGAAGGCAUCUUCUAAGAAAGAAAGGAUUUAUUCGGUAAAAGAUGGGCCCGCAUCUGAUUAGCUAGUUGGUGAGAUAAUAGCCCACCAAGGCAACGAUCAGUAGCCGACCUGAGAGGGUGACCGGCCACAUUGGGACUGAGACACGGCCCAAACUCCUACGGAAGGCAGCAG